rnacentral:rRNA from 1 species
AGAGUUUGAUCCUGGCUCAGGANACNCACGGAGGCUAAAUGCAGUCGAGGGAGCACAGUAGAAUACUGGGUGCGACGCGCAAGGGUGAACGCUGACAACAUCCCGUAUGGGAUAAUCAGGAAGUGUUAAUACCCCAUAGUAGUUUUGGGCAUCUAAAGAUUUUAAAGCUGGUGGAUACGGAUUGGCGCGUGACAAGCUAGAGUAGGUAGCUUACCAUGUACGAUGUUAGGGCGGGAAGCACACUGCUAGACAGUCCAUCUAGGGAGGCAGAGUGGGAAUAUUGAAGGAUGGAUCGAUCCAGCCUGCCGCUGCGGGACGGCCCUAGUGUAACUUUGUAUGGAGAAUAAUCUACUGUGAUUGUGGAGUACAUAAUAGCAGCUAACUCCGGCAGCAGCGCGGUAUACGGAGGGGUGCAAGCGUUAUCCGGAUUUAUUGGGUUUAAAGGGUGCGUAGGCGGUUUGAUAAGUCAGCGGUGAAAUAUUUCAGCUUAACUGGAAGGGUGCCGUUGAUACUGUCGAGCUUGAAUUUAGUUGCUGUGGGUGGAAUGUGUGGUGUAGCGGUGAAAUGCAUAGAUAUCACACAGAAUAUCGAUUGCGAAGGCAGCUCACAAAGCUAAUAUUGACGCUGAUGCACGAAAGUGUGGGGAUCAAACAGGAUUAGAUACCCUGGUAGUCCACACUGUAAACGAUGAUAACUCGCUGUCGGCGAUACACAGUCGGUGGCCAAGCGAAAGCGAUAAGUUAUCCACCUGGGGAGUACGACCGCAAGGUUGAAACUCAAAGGAAUUGACGGGGGCCCGCACAAGCGGAGGAACAUGUGGUUUAAUUCGAUGAUACGCGAGGAACCUUACCCGGGCUCGAACGGUGCAUGAAUGAUUCAGAGAUGGAUUAGUCCUUCGGGACAUGUAUCGAGGUGCUGCAUGGUUGUCGUCAGCUCGUGCCGUGAGGUGUCGGCUUAAGUGCCAUAACGAGCGCAACCCUUGUCGUUAGUUGCCAUCAGGUAAUGCUGGGAACUCUAGCGAGACUGCCACCGUAAGGUGCGAGGAAGGGGGGGAUGACGUCAAAUCAGCACGGCCCUUACGUCCGGGGCGACACACGUGUUACAAUGGCAGGUACAGAGGGCAGCUACCCAGCGAUGGGGUGCGAAUCUCGAAAGCCUGUCUCAGUUCGGAUCGGAGUCUGCAACUCGACUCCGUGAAGUUGGAUUCGCUAGUAAUCGCGCAUCAGCCAUGGCGCGGUGAAUACGUUCCCGGGCCUUGUACACACCGCCCGUCAAGCCAUGGAAGCUGGGGGUGCCUGAAGUUCGUUACCGCAAGGAGCGACCUAGGGCAAAACUGGUAACUGGGGCUAAGUCGUAACAAAGNUCACCAA